rnacentral:lncRNA from 1 species
AAUGAUGAAAUUUUUUCUGAGGAUCCAGAUGAACAGGACGCUGAAAAUGAAGGUGGAGAAUGCGAUUUAGUGGGAGUAAUUGAUGACUUCCAAAAUGGUGAGGAUCUCCGUGCUAAUAUUACAAAUCAAUUGUGGAGCAGUAGAAUAUAAGUUUAUCUAAAUUUUAUAAUUGUAUUGCUAUUUGGUAGAACUAAGUGCAGUGGCUGUAUUGUUAUUUGACAUUUGUAAGAUGAUAAUGUAUGAGAUGCAUAUGCUUUGUAAUACUUGCUUAUUUAUGCCUUUUAUGGAACAUGUAUUAAUGUUAGAAGUUGUGAUGAUAUUUUCUGCGUUAAAUGUUGGUAGGUAGAUCAUGUUGGUAGAUAUAAUUGUUUUCUAACUCUGUUAUAUAGUUUACUCUUUCAAACUGUUUUGGUUGUAUAUGUAUUUGUUUUUGAUUCAAUGUAUUGUUAUCUUUGUAAAAGUUCGUUGAUGUGCAGAUUGACUUGAUGUACUUAAAUAUUUGUGUAUUAUUAAUGAUAUCCAAAUGGUAAUGCUAAUUUUUAUCAAAUUUCGCAACGUCUCGUAUGACUGCCAUAAGUGAAGUGCAAAAGUUGGGCGUACGCGUUGUGGUGGUUAUAUGUGCUUAUUGGAAGUAAAAGUGUUAUCGGCACAAAUCGAAUUUGAAAACGUCUAACGGUACUCAACUCUACUAGAGGCUAAAUUUGAAAGGUUGAAAAUUAGUGUUUUUGGAGGGUUAAAAUGCAAUUAUAAGUAAAAUAUUAAAAUAGUUCGGAAAAUGCAAAUGUGAGUGAAAUUUGAAAUUAAGACAAUUUUAAUAUAGUUGUUUGAAAAUUUUAGAAAUUUUCAAAAUCACAAAAGAGUAGUGAAAAAUAUUUUUUUGUACAAAAUUACGCUAAAAUGUAUUUAAUUUUAAUCCUCACAAUUAUUUGCGAGCAUAGAAUUUUAAAAACCAAAAAAAAAAUUUUAUUUCAAUACAUUAAUGUGAGGGUAUUUUCGUCUUUUUAUCAUUUUACUAACCACUAUCCUUCUUAUCUCACCUACUCCAAUCAAACAUAAUUUUUUACUAUUUCGGACUAACUCUAACCCUCAAUCUAACACAAAAAUAUUUUAAUUCCAUCUUAAUUCUAAACUUAAUUAUAUUUCUAGAAUAACUAAUUUUUUUUUAAUUCCGAACCAAACGGUAGUCAGGAAAAUGACUUUUUACACAUUUUGAA